rnacentral:rRNA from 1 species
CCUACGGGGUGCAGCAGUGAGGAAUAUUGGUCAAUGGGCGCAAGCCUGAACCAGCCAAGUCGCGUGAGGGAUGACGGUCCUAUGGAUUGUAAACCUCUUUUGUCGGGGAGCAAGGCCCGCCACGUGUGGCGGGAAGGAGAGUACCCGAAGAACAAGCAUCGGCUAACUCCGUGCCAGCAGCCGCGGUAAUACGGGGGAUGCGAGCGUUAUCCGGAUUUAUUGGGUUUAAAGGGUGCGUAGGCGGAAGGUUAAGUCAGCGGUCAAAUGUCGGUGCUCAACACCGGCCUGCCGUUGAAACUGGUCGUCUUGAGUGAGCGAGAGGUAUGCGGAAUGCGUGGUGUAGCGGUGAAAUGCAUAGAGAUCACGCAGAACUCCGAUUGCGAAGGCAGCAUACCGGCGCUCAACUGACGCUGAGGCACGAAAGCGUGGGGAUCGAACAGGAUUAGAUACCCCAGUAGUC